rnacentral:rRNA from 1 species
CCAGCAGCUGCGGUAAUUCCAGCUCCAAUAGCGUAUAUUAAAGUUGUUGCAGUUAAAAAGCUCGUAGUUGGAUUUCUGCCGAAGACAGCCGGUCCGCCUCUGGUGUGCACCUGGUUCGGCUUUGGCAUUCUGUUGGGGAACGCGGUGCACUUGAUUGUGUGCCACGGUAUCCAGCAAUUUUACUUUGAGAAAAUUAGAGUGUUUCAAGCAGGCAUUUGCCUUGAAUACUGCAGCAUGGAAUAAUAAGAUAGGACUUUAGUUCUAGCUUGUUGGUUUCUGGGACUGAAGUAAUGAUUAAUAGGGAUAGUUGGGGGCAUUCGUAUUUAACUGUCAGAGGUGAAAUUCUUGGAUUUGUUAAAGACGAACUACUGCGAAAGCAUUUGCCAAGGAUGUUUUCA